rnacentral:rRNA from 1 species
AUUGAACGCUGGCGGCAGGCCUAACACAUGCAAGUCGAGCGGAUGAGUGGAGCUUGCUCCAUGAUUCAGCGGCGGACGGGUGAGUAAUGCCUAGGAAUCUGCCUGGUAGUGGGGGACAACGUUUCGAAAGGAACGCUAAUACCGCAUACGUCCUACGGGAGAAAGCAGGGGACCUUCGGGCCUUGCGCUAUCAGAUGAGCCUAGGUCGGCUUAGCUAGUUGGUGAGGUAACGGCUCACCAAGGCGACGAUCCGUAACUGGUCUGAGAGGAUGAUCAGUCACACUGGAACUGGGACACGGUCCAGACUCCUACGGGAGGCAGCAGUGGGGAAUAUUGGACAAUGGGCGAAAGCCUGAUCCAGCCAUGCCGCGUGUGUGAAGAAGGUCUUCGGAUUGUAAAGCACUUUAAGUUGGGAGGAAGGGCAGUAAGUUAAUACCUUGCUGUUUUGACGUUACCGACAGAAUAAGCACCGGCUAACUUCGUGCCAGCCGCCGCAGUAA